AUUGAACGCUGGCGGCAGGCUUAACACAUGCAAGUCGAACGGUAACAGGAGAAAGCUUGCUUUCUUGCUGACGAGUGGCGGACGGGUGAGUAAUGCUUGGGAAUCUGGCUUAUGGAGGGGGAUAACGACGGGAAACUGUCGCUAAUACCGCGUAGAAUCGAGAGAUGAAAGUGCGGGACCGCAAGGCCGCAUGCCAUAGGAUGAGCCCAAGUGGGAUUAGGUAGUUGGUGGGGUAAAGGCCUACCAAGCCGACGAUCUCUAGCUGGUCUGAGAGGAUGACCAGCCACACCGGGACUGAGACACGGCCCGGACUCCUACGGGAGGCAGCAGUGGGGAAUAUUGCGCAAUGGGGGCAACCCUGACGCAGCCAUGCCGCGUGAAUGAAGAAGGCCUUCGGGUUGUAAAGUUCUUUCGGUAUUGAGGAAGGUUGUUGUGUUAAUAGCGCGACAAAUUGACGUUAAAUACAGAAGAAGCACCGGCUAACUCCGUGCCAGCAGCCGCGGUAAUACGGAGGGUGCGAGCGUUAAUCGGAAUAACUGGGCGUAAAGGGCACGCAGGCGGACUUUUAAGUGAGGUGUGAAAUCCCCGGGCUUAACCUGGGAAUUGCAUUUCAGACUGGGAGUCUAGAGUACUUUAGGGAGGGGUAGAAUUCCACGUGUAGCGGUGAAAUGCGUAGAGAUGUGGAGGAAUACCGAAGGCGAAGGCAGCCCCUUGGGAAUGUACUGACGCUCAUGUGCGAAAGCGUGGGGAGCAAACAGG
rnacentral:rRNA from 1 species